rnacentral:lncRNA from 1 species
CCGGUGGAGCCAGCGCUGCGACCGCCUGCAGAAGGUUGACUGCGUGGUAGGGGGCCCAGAGCAAGCCGAAGGCAAGCACGAUGGCGCUCACCAGCCGGCCCACCCGCGCCCCGUGCCGCCCGGAGCCCCAGCGGGCGCCCCGCAGCCGUGCCAGCGUCACGCUGUAGCAGCCGAGCAUCAGCCCGAAAGGAAGCACGAAAGCGGUGGCGGUAGACGGCGGCCGGGACGGCGAGCAACAGGGCGGCCAGCCAGACCGCCAGCAGCAGGCGGCGGGCCAGGGCCGGGCUGCGCAGCCGAGGCGCCAGGAAGGGGCGGGUGACUGCGAGGCAGCGCUGCAGGCUGAGCAGGCCGGUGAGCAGCACGCUGGCGUACAUGCUGAGCGCGCACACGUAGUACACCGCCUUGCAGCCCGCCUGGCCCAGCGGCCAGGCCUGCCGGGUCAGGAAGGCCACAAAGAGCGGCGUGAGCAGCAGCACCGCGCCGUCGGCCAGCGCCAGGUGCAGCACAAGCGUGGCCGCCAGCGGUCGCCCCCGUGCAGGCCGCCAGCCCGCC